rnacentral:rRNA from 1 species
CCUACGGGUGGCAGCAGUGAGGAAUAUUGGUCAAUGGGCGGAAGCCUGAACCAGCCAAGUAGCGUGCAGGAUGACGGCCCUACGGGUUGUAAACUGCUUUUAUACGGGAAUAACGCGCCUUACGUGUAGGGCUUUGCAUGUACCGUAUGAAUAAGGACCGGCUAAUUCCGUGCCAGCAGCCGCGGUAAUACGGAAGGUCCGGGGGUUCUCCGGAUUUUUUGGGUUUAAAGGGUGCGAAGAGGGUCUGUUAAGUCAGCGGUCAAAGCCCGGGGCUCAACCCCGGCCCGCCGUUGAAACUGGCAGUCGCGAGGUGGAUAGAAGUAUGCGGAAUGCGCGGUGUAGCGGUGAAAUGCAUAGAUAUCGCGCAGAACUCCGAUUGCGAAGGCAGCAUGCCGGCUCCACACUGACGCUGAGGCACGAAAGCGUGGGUAUCGAACAGGAUUAGAUACCCGAGUAGUC